AUUGAACGCUGGCGGCAGGCCUAACACAUGCAAGUCGAGCGGUAGAGAGGUGCUUGCACCUCUUGAGAGCGGCGGACGGGUGAGUAAUGCCUAGGGAUCUGCCUGGUAGUGGGGGAUAACGUCCGGAAACGGACGCUAAUACCGCAUACGUCCUACGGGAGAAAGCAGGGGACCUUCGGGCCUUGCGCUAUCAGAUGAGCCUAGGUCGGAUUAGCUAGUUGGUGAGGUAAUGGCUCACCAAGGCGACGAUCCGUAACUGGUCUGAGAGGAUGAUCAGUCGCACUGGAACUGAGACACGGUCCAGACUCCUACGGGAGGCAGCAGUGGGGAAUAUUGGACAAUGGGCGAAAGCCUGAUCCAGCCAUGCCGCGUGUGUGAAGAAGGUCUUCGGAUUGUAAAGCACUUUAAGUUGGGAGGAAGGGUACUUACCUAAUACGUGAGUAUUUUGACGUUACCGACAGAAUAAGCACCGGCUAACUCUGUGCCAGCCGCCGCGGUAACAC
rnacentral:rRNA from 1 species